AUUGAACGCUGGCGGCAGGCCUAACACAUGCAAGUCGAGCGGAUGAAGGGAGCUUGCUCCCGGAUUCAGCGGCGGACGGGUGAGUAAUGCCUAGGAAUCUGCCUGGUAGUGGGGGAUAACGUCCGGAAACGGGCGCUAAUACCGCAUACGUCCUGAGGGAGAAAGUGGGGGAUCUUCGGACCUCACGCUAUCAGAUGAGCCUAGGUCGGAUUAGCUAGUUGGUGGGGUAAAGGCCUACCAAGGCGACGAUCCGUAACUGGUCUGAGAGGAUGAUCAGUCACACUGGAACUGAGACACGGUCCAGACUCCUACGGGAGGCAGCAGUGGGGAAUAUUGGACAAUGGGCGAAAGCCUGAUCCAGCCAUGCCGCGUGUGUGAAGAAGGUCUUCGGAUUGUAAAGCACUUUAAGUUGGGAGGAAGGGCAGUAAGUUAAUACCUUG
rnacentral:rRNA from 1 species